GUCGAGCGGGCCCUUCGGGGUCAGCGGCAGACGGGUGAGUAACGCGUGGGAACGUGCCCUUCGGUUCGGAAUAACCCUGGGAAACUAGGGCUAAUACCGGAUACGCCCCCUUGGGGGAAAGGUUUACUGCCGAAGGAUCGGCCCGCGUCUGAUUAGCUAGUUGGUGAGGUAACGGCUCACCAAGGCGACGAUCAGUAGCUGGUCUGAGAGGAUGAUCAGCCACACUGGGACUGAGACACGGCCCAGACUCCUACGGGAGGCAGCAGAAGGG
rnacentral:rRNA from 1 species